GUCAGCUUCACGAAAGUUAACGUGUUUACUGUCGUUGAGAGAGGGAAGCUAUGUUUGACCAGAAAUCAUUUUUUUCCUCAGGUUUCAUUUGUUUUACUUUACGGUGGACACCACAGACAUAAUAAGAAAAGAACACAGAAGAGAAGAAUAUCCAGUCAGCUCCCUGCAGAAGUUAAAUGUGAAAAGAGCUAAAGAGGCGUGCCUGGCAAGUACAAGCAGGAGAGGACAGACGCAGAUACCGGCAAAAAUCGUCUUUCUUGAACGUCCUGGGAUCAUCGCCUCACUCAAAGAUGGCUUAGAGGCCAGGAAAAUCUCAAAGGACCAGCUGGACCCUCACAAGCUCAGUGUGCUCAUGGCAUGAUGAGCUUACCCCUGCGCCACCAACGACAUACCACACGGCAUCUGCCUAGUGACCUAAAAUACAAAUGUGUGAAAAAAGGUCACAGGAAAAUCCCCAGGUCACUGUGACCUUGUUUUGGCUACCUGCACGCUCAGGUAUCUGCUGUUCAAACAAACGCAAUGGACAAUGGCACGCAAAGACGGAUAGACACACACACAUAUUUGGCUGUACACACAAUCAGCUAUCAUCGGACCGCUGAUAAGAUGAGUGUUGGACAUUUUGACGCUAUGCAAGUCUCAGUCUCUCUACCAGUGGUGGCAGGUUGAAGGUCAGGCCAGUUUUAAAUUGAGUGUUUUCGCCAUGGUGUAUCCUUGGUCAGAGAGCCUCUUGACCUCCACAUCCUGUGUGGAACAAUAUCACUUUCACUGCUCAUCCUUUAAGCCAGCCAUCACUCUCCAAGCAUGACUGUGACUGAUUUCUGUGGGAAAAGCCUCCAUGUUGACAUUUGCCAGCAUUCACCCCUAUUUUUGUCUUUUAAUCCCCCCCCAACUCUCAAUUUGUAAAUAAAUGUCUCGAGGUCAACCGAUAGCACUGCUGACCUCUUCUUGUCCUCCUCUACGUCUAUUGCUCCCCCCACCACCGGUCCCAUCAGCUCCUCAGGAAGCUAAUAAUCUCCUUCCUGUAUUUGACACAGGAUGUGGUGGCCAGCGGAGCCCAUGUGUUAAAGGGGUGCAUGUUUGUUUACAUGUAUGCACAAGCCCAUGCACUUGUGCAGUCACAGACACAAAGCAGGAAAA